UUACUGAGUUUACGCUCUAUAACCCUUUGUGAACAUACCUAUAACUGUUGCUUCGGCGGGUAGGGUCUCCGUGACCCUCCCGGCCUCCCGCCCCCGGGCGGGUCGGCGCCCGCCGGAGGAUAACCAAACUCUGAUUUAACGACGUUUCUUCUGAGUGGUACAAGCAAAUAAUCAAAACUUUUAACAACGGAUCUCUUGGUUCUGGCAUCGAUGAAGAACGCAGCGAAAUGCGAUAAGUAAUGUGAAUUGCAGAAUUCAGUGAAUCAUCGAAUCUUUGAACGCACAUUGCGCCCGCCAGCAUUCUGGCGGGCAUGCCUGUUCGAGCGUCAUUUCAACCCUCAAGCUCUGCUUGGUGUUGGGGCCCUACAGCUGAUGUAGGCCCUCAAAGGUAGUGGCGGACCCUCCCGGAGCCUCCUUUGCGUAGUAACUUUACGUCUCGCACUGGGAUCCGGAGGGACUCUUGCCGUAAAACCCCCAAUUUUCCAAAGGUUGACCUCGGAUCAGGUAGGAAUACCCGCUGAACUUAAGCAUAUCAAUAAGCGGAGGAAAAGAAACCAACAGGGAUUGCCUCAGUAACGGCGAGUGAAGCGGCAACAGCUCAAAUUUGAAAUCUGGCCCUAGGCCCGAGUUGUAAUUUGCAGAGGAUGCUUUUGGUGCGGUGCCUUCCAAG
rnacentral:rRNA from 1 species